rnacentral:rRNA from 1 species
UGGGGAAUUUUGGACAAUGGGCGCAAGCCUGAUCCAGCAAUGCCGCGUGCAGGAAGAAGGCCUUCGGGUUGUAAACUGCUUUUGUACGGAACGAAACGGCUCUUUCUAAUAAAGAGGGCUAAUGACGGUACCGUAAGAAUAAGCACCGGCUAACUACGUG